UCCCUCUCAGGGUCGCCCCUGGAGAGUUUCCAGUACUCUACCAGUCUCGACUAUGGGAGGGAGAGUCGAGCAGAAGCCUACCGAUUUCAUUCCAAACUUGGGCAGUGGCUAGUGAGUGGCAGGCAGUCUGCUACAAGU